rnacentral:rRNA from 1 species
GGUGAACGCUGGCGGCGUGCCUAAUACAUGCAAGUAGAACGCUGAAGGAAGGAGCUUGCUCUUUCCGGAUGAGUUGCGAACGGGUGAGUAACGCGUAGGUAACCUGCCUGGUAGCGGGGGAUAACUAUUGGAAACGAUAGCUAAUACCGCAUAACAGUAGAUGUUGCAUGACAACUAUUUGAAAGGGGCAAUUGCUCCACUACCAGAUGGACCUGCGUUGUAUUAGCUAGUUGGUGAGGUAACGGCUCACCAAGGCGACGAUACAUAGCCGACCUGAGAGGGUGAUCGGCCACACUGGGACUGAGACACGGCCCAGACUCCUACGGGAGGCAGCAGUAGGGAAUCUUCGGCAAUGGACGGAAGUCUGACCGAGCAACGCCGCGUGAGUGAAGAAGGUUUUCGGAUCGUAAAGCUCUGUUGUAAGAGAAGAACGAGUGUGAGAGUGGAAAGUUCACACUGUGACGGUAGCUUACCAGAAAGAGACGGCUAACUACGUG